UCCAUCCUUGUUCUCCUGUGGACCAUGGGGUCCCCUCCUGGGUCCUGGUCUUGUUGCUGACACUGGGUCUGUGCAGCCUGCAGGCUACAGCCGACAGCGUUCUAGACCCUGACUUUCGUGAGAAUUACUUUGAGCAGUACAUGGACCAUUUCAACUUUGAGAGUUUCAGCAACAAGACCUUUGGCCAGCGGUUCCUGGUGUCAGGUGAGUGCUGGCCCCACAGCAUGGUCCUUACCUGCUUAUCCCUGGCCUUACAGAGACCCAUUUACUUCCCACAGAUAAGUUCUGGAAGAUGGGCGAGGGGCCCAUUUUCUUCUACACAGGGAAUGAGGGGGAUAUCUGGUCCCUCGCUAACAACUCUGGCUUCAUAGUGGAACUGGCAGCCCAGCAGGAGGCCCUGCUGGUCUUUGCUGAGCAUGUAGGUACCAGGGCACUUCCUGAGCUGAGGGAGGUGGGGAACACAGAGGCAGCGGUUAGCCAUCGCUUCCUUCUUCCUGCAGCGGUAUUAUGGGAAAUCGCUUCCAUUCGGUGUGCAGUCCACACAGCGGGGAUACACACAGCUGCUGACUGUGGAGCAGGCGCUGGCUGACUUCGCCGUGCUGCUCCAGGCCCUGCGGCACAAUCUUGGGGUCCAGGAUGCCCCCACCAUAGCCUUUGGAGGGAGGUGGGUCCUUGAUAUCCCUUCAGGACAGAUCUGUCCCCACAGGAGAUCCUAGAGUCCUACUUACGCCACUCUCAUGGCCCCAAGUGGCACCCUAUAUAAGGAGGGCCAA
rnacentral:lncRNA from 1 species